rnacentral:rRNA from 1 species
CUACGGGUUGCUGCAGCAGGGAAUAUUGCACAAUGGACGGAAGUCUGAUGCAGCGACGCCGCGUGGAUGAUGAAGGCCCUCGGGUUGUAAAAUCCUUUUCAGGGGGACGAGGAAGGACGGUACCCUUGGAAUAAGCGUCGGCUAACUACGUGCCAGCAGCCGCGGUAAGACGUAGGACGCAAGCGUUAUCCGGAUUUACUGGGCGUAAAGCGUCUGUAGGCGGAAUGGUAAGUUGGACGUGAAAGCUCCGGGCUCAACCCGGAGAGGUCGUUCAAUACUGCCAAACUAGAGGGCAUCAGAGGAGCGUGGAAUUUCCGGUGUAGCGGUAAAAUGCGCAGAUAUCGGAAGGAACACCAAUGGCGAAGGCAGCGCUCUGGGAUGAACCUGACGCUAAGAGACGAAAGCUAGGGGAGCGAACAGGAUUAGAUACCCUAGUAGUC